AAAUAAGUGAUAUAGAGCAAAACCCUAAAAACGGUACUCAGUUCGGAUUGAAGGCUGAAAUUCGCCUUCAUGAAGCUGGAAUUGCUAGUAAUGGCAGGUCAGCAUACUGCCGUGAAUACGUUCCCGGGCCUUGUACACACCGCCCGUCACACCAUGAGAGUUGGGAAUACCCGAAGCCUGUGAGCUAACUUUUAGAGGCAGCAGUCGAAGGUAGAAUCAAUGAUUGGGGUGAAGUCGUAACAAGGUACC
rnacentral:rRNA from 1 species